rnacentral:rRNA from 1 species
UACGUAGGGAGCAAGCGUUGUCCGGAAUCAUUGGGCGUAAAGCGCGCGUAGGCGGCCUUGUAAGUCCGUUGUGAAAGUCAAAGGCUCAACCUUUGAAAGCCGAUGGAUACUGCAAGGCUGGAGUCCGGAAGAGGCGAGUGGAAUUCCUGGUGUAGCGGUGGAAUGCGCAGAUAUCAGGAGGAACACCAAUAGCGAAGGCAGCUCGCUGGGACGGUACUGACGCUGAGACGCGAAAGCGUGGGGAGCAAACAGG